UAUGUAGGGUGCGAGCGUUGUCCGGAAUUAUUGGGCGUAAAGAGCUCGUAGGCGGCUUGUCGCGUCGGAUGUGAAAGCCCGGGGCUUAACUCCGGGUCUGCAUUCGAUACGGGCAGGCUAGAGUUCGGUAGGGGAGAUCGGAAUUCCCGGUGUAGCGGUGAAAUGCGCAGAUAUCAGGAGGAACACCGGUGGCGAAGGCGGAUCUCUGGGCCGAUACUGACGCUGAGGAGCGAAAGCGUGGGGAGCGAACAGG
rnacentral:rRNA from 1 species